AUUGAACGCUGGCGGCAGGCCUAACACAUGCAAGUCGAACGAGUGGCGGACGGGUGAGUAAUGUCUGGGAAACUGCCUGAUGGAGGGGGAUAACUACUGGAAACGGUAGCUAAUACCGCAUACUAUCGGAUGUGCCCAUAUGGGAUUAGCUAGUAGGUGGGGUAAAGGCUCACCUAGGCGACGAUCCCUAACUGGUCUGAGAGGAUGAUCAGCCACACUGGAACUGAGACACGGUCCAGACUCCUACGGGAGGCAGCAGUGGGGAAUAUUGGACAAUGGGCGAAAGCCUGAUGCAGCCAUGCCGCGUGUGUGAAGAAGGUCUUAGGGUUGUAAAGCACUUUAAGUGGGGAGGCGUUACCAGCAGAAGAAGCACCGGCUAACUCCGUGCCAGCAGCCGCGGUAAUUC
rnacentral:rRNA from 1 species